GACGAACGCGGGCGGCGUGCUUAAUACAUGCAAGUAGAACGCUGAAGGAGGAGCUUGCUUCUCUGGAUGAGUUGCGAACGGGUGAGUAACGCGUAGGUAACCUGCCUGGUAGCGGGGGAUAACUAUUGGAAACGAUAGCUAAUACCGCAUAAGAGUAGAUGUUGCAUGACAUUUGCUUAAAAGGUGCAAUUGCAUCACUACCAGAUGGACCUGCGUUGUAUUAGCUAGUUGGUGAGGUAACGGCUCACCAAGGCAACGAUACAUAGCCGACCUGAGAGGGUGAUCGGCCACACUGGGACUGAGACACGGCCCAGACUCCUACGGGAGGCAGCAGUAGGGAAUCUUCGGCAAUGGACGGAAGUCUGACCGAGCAACGCCGCGUGAGUGAAGAAGGUUUUCGGAUCGUAAAGCUCUGUUGUAAGAGAAGAACGAGUGUGAGAGUGGAAAGUUCACACUGUGACGUAUCUACCAGAAAGGACG
rnacentral:rRNA from 1 species